GGUUGAUCCUGCCAGUAGUCAUAUGCUUGUCUCAAAGAUUAAGCCAUGCAUGUCUAAGUAUAGUCCCUUAUACUGCGAAACUGCGAAUGGCUCAUUAAAUCAGUUAUAAUUUAUUUGAUGGUACUUACUACUUGGAUAACCGUAGUAAUUCUAGAGCUAAUACAUGCGAACAUCCCGACCUCUGGAAGGGACGUAUUUAUUAGAUAAAAGGCCAGCCGGGCUUGCCCGACCUGAGUUGAAUCAUAAUAACCAAACGAAUCGCAUAGCCUUGUGCUGGCGAUGUUUCAAAUAAA
rnacentral:rRNA from 1 species